AAACGAUUGAAGUCAGUCAUGCUUGCAGGGAAUCAGCAUGGUGGUUUUCUUCCUUGUGCACUUCCUUGCUUAGCAGGUUAGCAUCAAUUUUGAUUGUCAUUAAAGAACCGGGGGAAUGUGGCUUCUUCGGGAGUGUUAUAGACCUUGGUAGAUAUGGCGAUUGGGAUUGAGGAUUGCAGCGAAUGCUUCUUGGCUAGUCACCUGGCUUCUGAUGGUCACCUUGCUUUCGAUAGCUUGCUAACGUUAGUGAGAUUUGAUUGUCUAGAUGUUAGUGUGAUCAUAAAUUCGCUAAGGAUGCUGACGUAAUGGCUUUAAACGA
rnacentral:rRNA from 1 species